GGAUGUGGAUGAUGAGAUCACAAGUGAAAAUACAGUUAUCCCUGUCUUACUUUCUCUGAAGGGUGCUGAGAAUACUGAGAAUCUGACACGAUU
rnacentral:snoRNA from 1 species